GAUGAACGCUGGCGGCGUGCUUAACACAUGCAAGUCGAACGGAAAGGCCAGUGCUUGCACUGGUACUCGAGUGGCGAACGGGUGAGUAACACGUGGGUGAUCUGCCCUGCACUUCGGGAUAAGCCUGGGAAACUGGGUCUAAUACCGGAUAGGACAAUGGUUUGGAUGCCGUUGUGGAAAGUUUUUUCGGUGUGGGAUGAGCUCGCGGCCUAUCAGCUUGUUGGUGGGGUAAUGGCCUACCAAGGCGUCGACGGGUAGCCGGCCUGAGAGGGUGUACGGCCACAUUGGGAAUGAGAUACGGCCCAGACUCAUACGGGAGGCAGCAGUGGGGAAUAUUGCACAAUGGGCGCAAGCCUGAUGCAGCGACGCCGCGUGGGGGAUGACGGCCUUCGGGUUGUAAACUCAUUUCGCUAGGGACGAAGCGUAUUUGUGACGGUACCUGGAGAAGAAGCACCGGCUAACUACGUG
rnacentral:rRNA from 1 species